CGUGAUAAGAACCGUAUGCAAUAACGUGGCUUAAGGAUAUACCUUCAUAACACUAUAUAAUCAUCUAAUAUCUUUUUGCUGAAUUGCAUCUGUACUGUUACCCGCAGCUUCGAAAUAGGACUUCUCUUUCUUCCCUUGCAAUACAGCAAUGGCAGGUAAUUCUUCAAGGUUUACUCUGGUGACCAUUCUCAUUUUUGCCAUGGCAGUUUCUUUGAUGCUACCAGGUGAUGCACGCACAAUUGAUCCAGGUAAAACCGAAUCACACUUUUUUUGCACACAAAAAUAGUUUAAAAAUAUGUUCAAUGUAUAAUUAUACCUUGCAGGCCUUGGUGGAUUCAGGCCUAAAUAUUGCCCAGCUUGUCUUUGUGCGGCACCUCCACCACCAGGUUCCUGCUGCAAGUGCCGUGGCGGAAGUGCUAUUUCUACUGUCGCCCCGGCUACUAAGGGCUCUCCCUAGUUUGCAUUCUUAAGAUGCUUCUGAGACCUGAAUAAGUAAUUAGCGGAGUAAUAAGAGUCUCUUGGUCCAGUUGGCAUAUAAAUAUAUAUUUAUAUAUUUCAUUUCUGUAAGAUACUUUAUGGUAUGAGAUAUAAUAGUAUCGGUUCCAAGUACUGGUUUUUAUUUAAAUAAAUGUUUUUUUUUUAUUAUUUCUCAAUCAUUUAGAAUUGCAUCAUAUGCUUUAUAUAACAGUAUCCCUACAAGCUUUUAACUUCUCUUUAAUUCUUAAAAUAAGAAG
rnacentral:lncRNA from 1 species